AUGAGCACGGGAUAGCUAUUAAUUACUAUUUAUUUAUGCAGACUAUCUUAUUUGAGAGAGAGAGAGAAAGAGAGAGAGAGAGAGAGAGAGAGAGAGAGAGAGAGAGAAGCUCCUUCUUCUCUGCCUGUACCCAAGUUGUCCAGAAAGAAAAAUAUAAUUUCACUCUGCAAUAGUGUGGAAAAUUAAAGGAAUGAGACAUAUCCUCACCUUCAGAGGUUGACAAUCUAUUGGGAAGGCAAUCCAUUGAAAGGUCAAAUGAAAAUAUAAAGUGGUGAUAUGAUAAAGAUGCAAAGAUUUGAAUGAUUUUUAAUAAUUUCUUUGUUUCACUGCCACACUGAGAAAUUCGUACAGGGACAUGACAGAAGCAAGUUCUGAAUUUAGAAAAAGUUGAGAUCACUGAUAGGGUGGUCAGCAAAGAAUUCAUGGGUGAACAGGGACCUUGGCUUUGUGAGGCGAUGGAUAUUCGAGAAAUCAAGGUAAGCAGAUAGUGAAAAGUCCAUUUUGGGCACCAGGUUUGCUUGUAAUUUGUUUUGGAUUUCAAAUGAAAGGUGAAGUUGGGGAACCAAGUGUCUAUUUUAUCAAUAUAAAGUUAUCCAGGUAGUUUGGGUUUUAGUUCUUAUUUUGAAAGCCUGAAAUUCCCUUUAGUUCUUGAUGACUCUGAAAGUUCAACUACAUUAAGAGGAGAACAAAACCUAAGCCUUGUACCAUAGAGCACAGGUUCCCAGAUCUUUGAUCGGGGCCAGAGAAACCAUUAGGGGGACCUUCAGUCCCUGCCUACAAUAGAGAUGAUCCGAAUUUUUCAAAGGAACCAAUGCUUAAAGGCUGUGGACUCCCAGCUUGAAUCACUG
rnacentral:lncRNA from 1 species